UACGGAAGGCAGCAGGGGGGAAUAUUGCACAAUGGGCGAAAGCCUGAUGCAGCUAUGCCGCGUGUAUGAAGAAGGCCUUAGGGUUGUAAAGUACUUUCAUCGGGGAGGAAAAAACAAACUAAUAAUUUUAUUUCUUGACGUUACCCGAAAAAGAAGCACCGGCUAACUCCGUGCCAGCAGCCGCGGUAAUACGGAGGGUGCUAGCGUUAAUCAGAAUUACUGGGCGUAAAGAGCACGUAGGUGGUUUUUUUAAAGUCAGAUGUGAAAUCCCUGGGCUUAACCUAGGAACUGCAUUUUGAAACUGAAAUACUAGAGUAUCGUAGAGGGAGGUAGAAUUCUAGGUGUAGCGGUGAAAUGCGUAGAUAUCUGGAGGAAUACCUGUGGCGAAAGCGGCCUCCUAAACGAAUACUGACACUGAGGGUGCGAAAGCGUGGGGAGCAAACAGGGAUUAGAUACC
rnacentral:rRNA from 1 species